rnacentral:tRNA from 2 species
AGGGGUAUAGCUCAGUUGGUAGAGCGGCGGUCUCCAAAACCGCAGGUCACAGGUUCGAGCCCUGUUGCCCCUG